UUUGUUAAGAAGAAACAGCCGUUUCUCACCAUGCAACAAUUGAGUUAGCUUGGUUAUUUAUCUAGAUUAUUUAUGUGAAGUAAUUACGAUAAUAGAAAACGGCGUUCAACGCCGUUUUUUUUAUAUUAU
rfam:Clostridium paraputrificum strain 373-A1 CP373A1_18, whole genome shotgun sequence.